rnacentral:rRNA from 1 species
ACGGGUGAGUAACGCGUGGGAACGUGCCCUUCGGUUCGGAAUAACUCAGGGAAACUUGAGCUAAUACCGGAUACGCCCUUUUGGGGAAAGGCUUGACUGCCGAAGGAUCGGCCCGCGUCUGAUUAGCUUGUUGGUGAGGUUACGGCUCACCAAGGCGACGAUCAGUAGCUGGUCUGAGAGGAUGAUCAGCCACACUGGGACUGAGACACGGCCCAGACUCCUACGGGAGGCAGCAGUGGGGAAUAUUGGACAAUGGGGGCAACCCUGAUCCAGCCAUGCCGCGUGAGUGAUGACGGCCUUAGGGUUGUAAAGCUCUUUUCUCCGGGACGAUAAUGACGGUACCGGAGGAAUAAGCCCCGGCUAACUUCGUGCCAGCAGCCGCGGUAAUACGAAGGGGGCUAGCGUUGCUCGGAAUCACUGGGCGUAAAGGGCGCGUAGGCGGCUGAUUUAGUCGAGGGUGAAAGCCCGUGGCUCAACCACGGAAUGGCCUUCGAUACUGGUUGGCUUGAGACCGGAAGAGGACAGCGGAACUGCGAGUGUAGAAGUGAAAUUCGUAGA